rnacentral:rRNA from 1 species
AGUAACACGUGAGCAACCUGCCUUUAAGAGUGGGAUAACAGUCGGAAACGACCGCUAAUACCGCAUAAUAUACUUGUAUCGCAUGGUAUGGGUAUCAAAGAUUUAUCGCUUAAAGAUGGGCUCGCGUCUGAUUAGCUGGUUGGUGAGGUAACGGCUCACCAAGGCGACGAUCAGUAGCCGUACUGAGAGGUAGAACGGCCACAUUGGGACUGAGACACGGCCCAGACUCCUACGGGAGGCAGCAG